UUUCUGUAGUUAUAGUUCUUACUCUUUUAAAGAAGUUUUACGUAUUUGUGGUUUCUUCCACUUGUCCUGUGGUCUGUUGCUAUGUAACAAACCACUUCAAAUCACAGUGGCUUAAAACAACAUUUAUUUUUGCUUUUGGAUCUACAGGUUAGCUGCAGCUCAGGUAAGCUAGACUGGACCUUAGUAUCUGGGUUCCAGGUUCCAGGCUGCAGUUUGGGUUCAAUUUGCUCCAUGUGUUUCUCAUCUUCUCUGGUCCAGUGGCUUCCUGGGACCAUGCUGCCCAAGACGGAUGGACCCACGGAAGCAGAUGAUGCCUCUUGAGUUAUUCAGUGAAGUACUUGUAUGCUGUCAUUUAAACCUAUGUUUCAUCAACCAGUACAAGCCAUAUGGCCAAAGCCAGCACCAAUGAUGUAGAAGAGCUCUGCCUACUAUAGUUGGUGUUACUAAAAAGUCACAUGACAAAAUGUGCUCAGUUGUGUGACUGUUCAGUUGAGCUUGAGACCUCAUGCUACAUUUGUAGCCAAUCACUGACCUCCUCCCUGGCAUCAGUGAUACUGAAUGUUCCUGCUUCGAAGCCGCUAAUUGGUGAGUGCCAAAUAAGACUCCUUAGGAAGCAACAGAAGCUCUUUAAAUAAGCCACUGGAAGCCACUCU
rnacentral:lncRNA from 1 species